rnacentral:miRNA from 1 species
AUCGGGUUUCCGCUGUACUUGCA